rnacentral:rRNA from 1 species
GAGUUUGAUCCUGGCUCAGGAUGAACGCUAGCGACAGGCUUAACACAUGCAAGUCGAGGGGCAGCGGUGGUGAAGGCUUGCCUUUACCAGCCGGCGACCGGCGCACGGGUGAGUAACACGUAUGCAACCUGCCUGCCACAGCCGGAUAAUCGGGAGAAAUUCCGUCUAAUACGGCAUAAUGCAUCGACGGGACAUCCUGUUGGUGCCAAAGGUUAAUUCCGGUGGCGGAUGGGCAUGCGUCGCAUUAGUUAGUUGGCGGUGUAACGGACCACCAAGACGACGAUGCGUAGGGGUUCUGAGAGGAAGGUCCCCCACACUGGUACUGAGACACGGACCAGACUCCUACGGGAGGCAGCAGUGAGGAAUAUUGGUCAAUGGGUGGGAGCCUGAACCAGCCAAGUCGCGUGAGGGAUGACGGCCCUAUGGGUUGUAAACCUCUUUUGCCGGGGAGCAAAGUGCCGCACGUGUGCGGUUUGGAGAGUACCCGGAGAAAAAGCAUCGGCUAACUCCGUGCCAGCAGCCGCGGUAAUACGGAGGAUGCGAGCGUUAUCCGGAUUUAUUGGGUUUAAAGGGUGCGUAGGCGGACGCUUAAGUCAGCGGUAAAAUUGCGGGGCUCAACCUCGUCGAGCCGUUGAAACUGGGUGCCUUGAGUGGGCGAGAAGUACGCGGAAUGCGUGGUGUAGCGGUGAAAUGCAUAGAUAUCACGCAGAACUCCGAUUGCGAAGGCAGCGUACCGGCGCCCAACUGACGCUGAAGCACGAAGGCGUGGGUAUCGAACAGGAUUAGAUACCCUGGUAGUCCACGCGGUAAACGAUGAAUGCUAGUUGUCCGGGGCGAUUGAGUUCUGGGUGACACAGCGAAAGCGUUAAGCAUUCCACCUGGGGAGUACGCCGGCAACGGUGAAACUCAAAGGAAUUGACGG